CACAGGCUGCCCAGAGAAGCUGUGGCUGCCCCAUCCCUGGAAGUGUCCAAGGCCAGGUUGGACGAAACUUGGAGUAACCUGGGCUUGUAGAAGAUGUCUCUGCCCACAGCAGGACUUUGGAACGGGAUGAUCUUUAAGAUCCUUUCCUACCCGAACCAUUCUGUGUUUCUCCGAUUCCAUGACGACAUCCCACCUGUGUUCCACCGUGCUGGUGGAUGCAGCAGUGCUGGCUACCGGAGGAGCUUGGAAUGCCCUUGCCAAAGCAUCAGAGUCAAUUAAUCACUGCGGUCCCGGGAGCCCAGGAUUAUUGUGUAUCUUGGAUAAAUUAAGUACCAGUCAAUUGAGUGUUAGAGAUACUCUGAACCCUUACAUUUAAGUUUGGAUGUCAGCUGUUAUUUCUGAGAAUAGUGCAUGAUGGAUGAGGUGCCACUGUUUGGAAAAAAGCAAAUACAAUAUCUCUUUGAAAAAGGAAAAAAAUCAUAGCUUUCUAAAUAAACUUUAUUGUCAAAGAAAUGGUAGAACUAAUAAAGUGCUUACAAGGAUCCAAGUUAUAAACGUUUGUGUGUCAAAUGAUGUAAUAUUUCUUUUUGUCCCAGCCCUGCAAUACUGUGAGCACUUGGGAGCAACACAUUGCAAGAACAAAUCCCACAGAAGUGGAUAAAUGUGAGGGAUUGAUUUACUAGGGAAGACAUAUUAGCCUGCAGGAGACAGGAAAACCUGGAGAGAGGAACAGACUAUUCUGUUCUGUGAGGGGUAGGUAGGGGAAGUAGUAUGGUUACAUUGCAGCAAGGCAGGCUUAAACUGAAAGAAGAGGAAAGCUUUGCAGUUGUAAGGAUGAGCCGUAGACUGGAUUGGUGAAGAGUCAGUGGAAUCUCAGUCAAUCUUGUCAAGGCCCUCAGUUCAGUUACCCCAAAGUCCUGAGUGCCAUGUUAAAAAUCUGGGUUCUUUUCAGCCUUGGUGUCUGAAGAAUGUGUAUCUAAGGGACAGAGUGUGUCUGACUUCUCCUAGAUUUGGAGACUCAUCCAGCAAGAGGCUCAAUAGCUGCCUUGCCUGUACAGUUUGCCAGCAGUCUCAUUAGAUUUCUUGGAAUUAAUACAAAUUUAUUAAACCCAGCAAAAAUGACAUAUGUGUGAGAGGAUUUUUGAAAAAGAUUAUGCAUUUUUACAGGUGAAAGCAGCCUUACUUUAUUUUCAUUCUUUAUAAUCUAAAUGUUUUUGUUAGUGCCUGUUUGCUGGGCUUCAUGUGUGUCACUGAAGGCAUAUUAAUGAAUGGUGUUACUGCAAACAUCUAUCAGUCAGAGGAAUCAUAAUCUCAGAAGGAGAUUAUGCCAUGGGAAAUAAUUCCAGAAAGACCAAACAUACGGAGUUAAAGUUUAGUCUGUGGUACAGCAAAAACCUUGGUGAUAGUUCUGCCAUGUUUUGCGUAUUUAGCAUUAUUCAUCCAUCUUGCCUUGGCCUAGUCAGGUGUUUAUUGCUGCUGGAAUAUUAUAUUUGUUUUUCAUUGCUUCUCAGUUGUUUUUCAAUUUUUCUGUGGAAGAGAUGUUAAAAAUGCUGCUAUUCUUUCCUUUAGACUGAUCUGGCAUUCAAACAGAAACAGAAGGAGGAGCAAAAGAAACUUGAGGAGAUGAAAGCAAAAGCUGCUGGAAAAGGGCCCCUGGCCAGUGGUGGAAUAAAGAAGUCUGGCAAAAAGUAGCUUGAUCAAACUGCAGGGUAAGAAGUGAUCAAGUUCCCCAAUGGACCUGCAAACUUCAGAGUCUUGAAAACACUCUGUCAUUUGGGAAACAUUGUACAUUUUGUUUAGUCAGAAUAAAUCUUUUUUGUUAAGAUGUGA